CGUAGGGUGCGAGCGUUAAUCGGAAUUACUGGGCGUAAAGCGUGCGCAGGCGGUUUUGUAAGACAGAUGUGAAAUCCCCGGGCUCAACCUGGGACCUGCAUUUGUGACUGCAAGGCUAGAGUACGGUAGAGGGGGAUGGAAUUCCGCGUGUAGCAGUGAAAUGCGUAGAUAUGCGGAGGAACACCGAUGGCGAAGGCAAUCCCCUGGACCUGUACUGACGCUCAUGCACGAAAGCGUGGGGAGCAAACAGGAUUAGAUACCCUGGUAGUCCACGCCCUAAACGAUGUCAACUGGUUGUUGGGUCUUUGCUGACUCAGUAACGAAGCUAACGCGUGAAGUUGACCGCCUGGGGAGUACGGCCGCAAGGUUG
rnacentral:rRNA from 1 species